UUACCUACGGGAGGCAGCAGUGGGGAAUAUUGGGCAAUGGGGGAAACCCUGACCCAGCGACGCCGCGUGAGGGAAGAAGGUUUUCGGAUUGUAAACCUCUGUCCUUGGUGACGAUAAUGACGGUAGCCAAGGAGGAAGCCACGGCUAACUACGUGCCAGCAGCCGCGGUAAUACGUAGGUGGCGAGCGUUGUCCGGAAUUACUGGGUGUAAAGGGAGCGUAGACGGUGCAGCAAGUCUGAUGUGAAAGGUCGGGGCCCAACCCCGGGACUGCAUUGGAAACUGUUGAACUGGAGUACAGGAGAGG
rnacentral:rRNA from 1 species